rnacentral:rRNA from 1 species
CAGUCGCCGCGGUAAUACGUAGGGUGCAAGCGUUAAUCGGAAUUACUGGGCGUAAAGCGUGCGCAGGCGGUUAUAUAAGACAGAUGUGAAAUCCCCGGGCUCAACCUGGGAAUGGCAGUGGAUACUGGCAAGCUAGAGUGUGUCAGAGGAUGGUGGAAUUCCCGGUGUAGCGGUGAAAUGCGUAGAGAUCGGGAGGAACAUCAGUGGCGAAGGCGGCCAUCUGGGACAACACUGACGCUGAGGCACGAAAGCGUGGGGAGCAAACAGGAUUAGAUACCCGAGUAGUCCCUGUCUCUUAUAC